CUACGGGUCGCUGCAGUGAGGAAUUUUGCGCAAUGGGGGCAACCCUGACGCAGCAACGCCGCGUGAGUGAAGAAGGCCCUUGGGUCGUAAAGCUCUGUCAAUGGGGAAGAAGUUACUUGGUAUUAAUAGUGCCUUGUAUUGACGGUACCCAUGAAGGAAGCACCGGCUAACUCCGUGCCAGCAGCCGCGGUAAUACGGGGGGUGCAAGCGUUAUUCGGAAUUAUUGGGCGUAAAGGGCACGCAGGCGGUCCUGUCCGUCAGAUGUGAAAGCCCAGGGCUCAACCCUGGACGUGCAUUUGAAACAGCAGGACGUGAGGACGGGAGAGGAAAGGGGAAUUCCUGGUGUAGAGGUGAAAUUCGUAGAUAUCAGGAGGAACACCGGUGGCGAAGGCGCCUUUCUGGACCGAUACUGACGCUGAGGUGCGAAGGCGUGGGUAGGGAACGGGAUUAGAUACCCUCGUAGUC
rnacentral:rRNA from 1 species